GGAUUGCUAUUUCAGACGGCGGUUGCAGCAGCCGACCUGUCUCAACUCCACCACUGUAGUCAGAGAAUCAAAAGCGGUCUGAGUUGCGAGGUCAUUGGGGAGGCCCCCACCCCCACAUUACCAGUGAGGAAACUGAGACUUAAAAAAGUGACCUGACCUGGACACGGGAUUGCCUGACAUCAGAGCUGGAUUCUUAAGUUCCUGUUAGUGUUAAGGCGCUGCUCAGACUUUUAGUAAAGGUGAGCGCCAUCUACUGCCAAGUCUCACAAAAUAUUCGCAAAAUUUGAUACGGUUAUCACAUGGUAAAAAUUAGACUUUAAAAGUUGUAUUUAAUGCUGUGUUUUCAGCUGUUGUACACUUAUGUAAUUUUAAUUAUGCAAAGUUAUCCUAAUAAUAUAGGAAUAUUAAUUG
rnacentral:lncRNA from 1 species